rnacentral:rRNA from 1 species
AGUGAACGCUGGCGGUAGGCCUAACACAUGCAAGUCGAACGGCAGCACAGUAAGAGCUUGCUCUUACGGGUGGCGAGUGGCGGACGGGUGAGGAAUACAUCGGAAUCUACUUUUUCGUGGGGGAUAACGUAGGGAAACUUACGCUAAUACCGCAUACGACCUACGGGUGAAAGCAGGGGAUCUUCGGACCUUGCGCGAUUGAAUGAGCCGAUGUCGGAUUAGCUAGUUGGCGGGGUAAAGGCCCACCAAGGCGACGAUCCGUAGCUGGUCUGAGAGGAUGAUCGGCCGGACGGGAACGGAGACACGGUCGAGAGUCGGACGGGGGGGAGGAGUGGGGAAUGUUGGACAAGGGGGGGAAGGGUGAUGGAGCGAGAGCGCGUGGGUGGAGAAGGCCGUGGGGUUGGAGAGCGCGGGUGUUGGGGAAGAAAAGCAGCAGGGUGAUACGGCGGGGUUGUGACGGUACCGGAAGAAUAAGCACCGGCUAACUUCGUG